rnacentral:rRNA from 1 species
GCAGCAGCCGCGGUAUACGUAGGUGGCAAGCGUUAUCCGGAAUUAUUGGGCGUAAAGCGCGCGUAGGCGGUUUUUUAAGUCUGAUGUGAAAGCCCACGGCUCAACCGUGGAGGGUCAUUGGAAACUGGAAAACUUGAGUGCAGAAGAGGAAAGUGGAAUUCCAUGUGUAGCGGUGAAAUGCGCAGAGAUAUGGAGGAACACCAGUGGCGAAGGCGACUUUCUGGUCUGUAACUGACGCUGAUGUGCGAAAGCGUGGGGAUCAAACAGGAUUAGAUACCCUGGUAGUCAAGGGCG